UACAGAGGGGGCAAGCGUUGUUCGGAAUUACUGGGCGUAAAGGGCUCGUAGGUGGCCAACUAAGUCAGACGUGAAAUCCCUCGGCUUAACCGGGGAACUGCGUCUGAUACUGGAUGGCUGGAGAUUGGGAGAGGGAUGCGGAAUUCCCGGUGUAGUGGUGAAAUGCGUAGAUAUCGGGAGGAACACCAGUGGCGAAGGCGACUUCUUGGCCUGUUCUUGACGCUGAGGCGCGAAAGCUGGGGGAGCAAACGGG
rnacentral:rRNA from 1 species